rnacentral:misc_RNA from 1 species
UGAUGCGCUGGCGCUGGCCACCGGAAAAUUCAUGCGGAUAACGGAAGCGCGUCGCCGGAUCGAGUCCGACGUCUUUCAGCGCCUUGAUCACCCGCGCCUCGCGUUCGCUCUCGCUGAGCGAGGGCUGAUGCACGCCGAGACCUUCAGCAACAAUAUCGCCGACCGACAUGCGCGGACUCAGCGCCCCGAACGGAUCCUGAAACACGAUCUGCAUGUCGCGGCGGACCGGACGCAUCUCCUUGAACUUCAGACCCUGAAUAUCCUUGCCGAGGAAGCCCGUUCGAUGAAAUCAGGCGCAGCAAUGCGAGCCCGAGCGUGGUCUUGCCCGAACCGGACUCGCCGACCACGCCGAGCGUUUCGCCCUUGCGCACCGACACACUGACGCCAUCGACCGCCUUGAUGUGGCCGACAGUUUUGCGUAGCAGGCCUCGCUUGAUCGGAAACCACACCUUCAGAUCGUUGGAGGCCAUCACCACCGGCGAAUCCGGGCGCGGCGGCGCCGGGUCCGGCUUCGGCUCCGCCGCCAGCAGCGCUUUCGUGUACGGAUGCUGGGCGGCGGUAAAAACCUGUUCGACCGGCCCCUGCUCGACAAUCUUGCCGUUGUUCAUCACGCAGACCACAUCGGCG